CCCCUCUUCCCAAUUUUGACCCAAUUUCAAUAUUUUUAGGGUUUGUUCUUCACAAAUCUCUCAAAUUCUCUUCAAUUUUUACAAAUCUUGUAAAAAGAUUUCUGGGUUUUGUUCCUUGUGGUGUUUAAGACCAGAAAGAUCAAGAAUUUGCAACAAUCAACAGGAAAAAUAUCACCUUUUUUACCAGCUGUAUUCGGACGCGUAUGGAAUGUAUUCAGAUCUUAUGAUGGCGAAUAAUGUUGGUUAUGGAUUGUCAUUUGAGUGGUGAGUUGUUUGUAAAUGAUGGAGGUGUAGAAGAUGUGAAUUGGAUGGAUGCUGGUGGAGUUGUAGGUAGGAAUUUGAGGAGAGAACAGAGAACUCGAGUAAUUUCACUGGAUUGCAUCAUCAUCAUCAUCAUGGGAAUUUGAAUAAUGAAGGGAAUGAAACACAGUAUGGAAGUGAACCUGUUUAUAGAGGGGAUUCUUAGUUUGGAUAUGGGUCAUAUGGUGAUGAAGAGGAUGAUACGACUGUUGUUUUGGGGCAACAAGUUUGGAGGUACUUUCAAUUGCUAAAGAGUUGUGGUGUCAAUACUGAUAUUUAAGAAUCCAAUGGGUUAACAAAGAUGGUGGGAUAUUUGCUGAUGAUUGUGGGAUUGGAAUGUACAAUGAAGUGAAGAAGAGGAGCACAAAUAAAUAGACGUCCAAGUUUUGUUUGUGAAGAUUGUUUUGGCUUUAUUCUUUCUGUUGUAUCUUGUUUACCAUUGUAUAUGAAUCAUGCCUUGAGUUGUUUAAGCUUAUUAUAUUACAUUUUUGU